GGUUCGGGAGCCUUCCGGUGGGACGGGGGGCAUGAAUGGGACCUUUACCCCCUAUCGCAAGCGGCGCGCGCCCGUGGCCCCGACGGACCCGCG
rfam:Rhodobacter sp. CACIA14H1 contig00370, whole genome shotgun sequence.